AUUGAACGCUGGCGGCAUGCUUUACACAUGCAAGUCGAACGGCAGCAUGGGUGCUUGCACCUGAUGGCGAGUGGCGAACGGGUGAGUAAUGUAUCGGAACAUAUCCGCAAGUGGGGGAUAACGUAGCGAAAGUUACGCUAAUACCGCAUAUUCACUGAGGGGGAAAGGAGGGGAUGCGCAAGGACCUUUCGCUUACGGAGGGGCCGAUAUCAGAUUAGCUAGUUGGUGAGGUAAAGGCUCACCAAGGCUUCGAUCUGUAGCGGGUCUGAGAGGAUGAUCCGCCACACUGGGACUGAGACACGGCCCAGACUCCUACGGGAGGCAGCAGUGGGGAAUUUUGGACAAUGGGGGCAACCCUGAUCCAGCCAUGCCGCGUGAGUGAAGAAGGCCUUCGGGUUGUAAAGCUCUUUCAGCUGGAAAAAAAUCGCUUCACCUAAUACGUGGAGUGGAUGAUGGUACCAGCAGAAGAAGCACCGGCUAACUACGUGCCAGCCGCCGCAGUAA
rnacentral:rRNA from 1 species